rnacentral:rRNA from 1 species
GACAGAGGGUGCAAACGUUGUUCGGAAUUACUGGGCGUAAAGCGCGUGUAGGCUGUCUCGCAAGUCGGGUGUGAAAGCCCUGGGCUCAACCUAGGAAGUGCACUCGAAACUGCGAGACUUGAGUCCUGGAGAGGAAGGCGGAAUUCUCGGUGUAGAGGUGAAAUUCGUAGAUAUCCGCAAGAACACCAGUGGCGAAGGCGGCUCACUGGCCCGGUACUGACGCUGAGGCGCGAAAGCGUGGGGAGCAAACAGG